UGUGAAGUCAUGCAGCCUCUGUACCCCCCUAGCACCUAUAUGUACCUAUUGGGAGACAUCAUGCAGGGAGAAAGUAUGAUGAUGCAGGAGAAGGUAUAAAAGCACAGCGUUUAGGAACCCUGACUUCUCAAAGCCAUCAAAUCAGCAAUGGGAUUGCACUUGCAAUUGAGUUGCAGUUGCCGAGAAGCCUUUAUAGGUAAUAGGAGUCCACCUCACACUUACCAGGGC